CGCUAUCACUCCUACGGGGAGGCAGCAGUGGGAAUAUUGGACAAUGGGCGAAAGCCUGAUCCAGCCAUGCCGCGUGUGUGAAGAAGGUCUUCGGAUUGUAAAGCACUUUAAGUUGGGAGGAAGGGUUGUAGAUUAAUACUCUGCAAUUUUGACGUUACCGACAGAAUAAAGCACCGGCUAACUCUGUGCCAGCAGCCGCGGUAAUACAGAGGGUGCAAGCGUUAAUCGGAAUUACUGGGCGUAAAGCGCGCGUAGGUGGUUCGUUAAGUUGGAUGUGAAAUACCCCGGGCUCAACCUGGGAACUGCAUUCAAAACUAGUCGAGCUAGAGUAUGGUAGAGGGUGGUGGAAUUUCCUGUGUAGCGGUGAAAUGCGUAGAUAUAGGAAGGAACACCAGUGGCGAAGGCGACCACCUGGACAAAGACUGACGCUCAGAUGCGAAAGCGUGGGGAGCAAACAGGAUUAGAUACCCUGGUAG
rnacentral:rRNA from 1 species